UACGUAGGGUGCGAGCGUUGUCCGGAAUUAUUGGGCGUAAAGAGCUCGUAGGCGGUUUGUUGCGUUUAUCGUGAAAACCUGCAGCUUAACUGUGGGCUUGGGUGGAUACGGGCAGACUUGAGUUCGGUAGGGGAGACUGGAAUUCCUGGUGUAGCGGUGAAAUGCGCAGAUAUCAGGAGGAACACCGGUGGCGAAGGCGGGUCUCUGGGCCGAUACUGACGCUGAGGAGCGAAAGCGUGGGGAGCGAACAGG
rnacentral:rRNA from 1 species